GACGAACGCUGGCGGCGGGCUUAACACAUGCAAGUCGAACGGAAAGGCCCUGCUUUUGUGGGGUGCUCGAGUGGCGAACGGGUGAGUAACACGUGAGUAACCUGCCCUUGACUUUGGGAUAACUUCAGGAAACUGGGGCUAAUACCGGAUAGGAGCUCCUGCUGCAUGGUGGGGGUUGGAAAGUUUCGGCGGUUGGGGAUGGACUCGCGGCUUAUCAGCUUGUUGGUGGGGGAGUGGCUUACCAAGGCUUUGACGGGUAGCCGGCCUGUGAGGGUGACCGGCCACCUUGGUACUGAGAUACGGCCCAGACUCCUACGUGAGGCAGCAGGGGGGAAUCUUGCACAAUGGGAGCAAGCCGGAUGAAGCAACGCCGGGUGUGGGAUGACGGCCUUCGGGGUGUAAACCGCUUUAGCCUGUGACGAAGCGUGAGUGACGGUAAUGGGUAAAGAAGCACCGGCUAACUACGUG
rnacentral:rRNA from 1 species